rnacentral:rRNA from 1 species
ACGCUCGACACCUACGGGAGACAGCAGUGGGGAAUAUUGCACAAUGGGGGGAACCCUGAUGCAGCGACGCCGCGUGAGGGAAGAAGGUUUUCGGAUUGUAAACCUCUGUCCUUGGUGACGAUAAUGACGGUAGCCAAGGAGGAAGCCACGGCUAACUACGUGCCAGCAGCCGCGGUAAUCUGAGCGGGCUGGCAAGGC